rnacentral:lncRNA from 1 species
CACAAAGCAAGUUUAUAUUGAACACAUUAACAUGCAUUAAUACAAAAAGUACGAAAGAUUGGUAUAGAUCAUAGGUUCUACUUUUCUCAUUUUAAUAUGAACAUUUCUUAUUUCCCACUUAUAAAUGUCACACCUAACUUGACUUUUCCCAAAAUAAAGCUGACAUUGCCUGUACUUAGUCAAGAAUAUGACAGUUGUUAUCAAUUUGUUUGAUGUGUUAAAACUUUUGAUUUUGCUAUUUGAUUAGGGACUUUCCGUUCUGAAUUUUCCUUGGCGUUCAGUAUGUUUGUGAUUCUACUUUUUACAACGCCCAAAAUAAUAUUUUACAGUUCGCAACUCUCAUUUUAAAUAUUCUAGCUGAUAUUACUCAGUUCUCAGUUAUCAUGUUGACCUCCGAGUUAACAUUUCUUAGAUCAAGCUUAACAAUUUAUGCUUUUUAAGAAAACAUUUAAACGCAAAAGAAUUGUAUUUCGGAACUGGAAAAUCUCAAGCAAGCAAGAAAUCAGACUGUGAAAUGUCAACUUGGAAGGGAUGAAUGUCAUAUUGGAAGUAGAUAUUUUUUACGAGAUUACCCCUUUAAAGUCUUAUGCUCAACACGUGUACAAUAAUACACUAUGAGAUAAAAUUGAAUACAUUAAGAUUUUAACAAAACACAUUGAUAAAAAAUUAUGUAAACUUUAAAAAUUUUAUAUAAAAAUAAUAAAACAAGAAAUACAGAUAAAUUAUAUAUAGAAUAAAUGAUUAAAAAGCAGAAAUGAAUACAUAUUUAAAAUAAACCAUAAAAGUGUCAAAUAGAAAUAAAACAAAUAAAUACAGUUAAUGAUAGAUGUAAAGGAAAAGAUAUACUACUUUGGAUUUUUGAAUGUUCGUGGGUACCAGUAUUUUCGUAGAGAGUUGAUUUCAUGGUUUUGCAAAAGGAUGCAUACUAGCACAAAGAAAAUUCCUUCUUCAUUGAACAUUUAAAUUCGUUGUUAACAUUACCCACACAAUCAAUGAAAAUUGGUAUCCUACUGAUGAUAAUAGAUCCACAGUAAAAAAAAUAGUAUGAACAGAUUGAUUUACUAGCAUUAACGGCAUCAAUUUAACCAUGUUUACUGUACCUUGCGCAUGUUAACAAUAAAUUUAUGUUCAGUGACCAUGCAUGUGUUCAAAAUCUUUGAAAAUUAAUAAGUAAACCAGUUAAGAGCUGAUAAACCGGACAAGGAAUCAAAGUUUUGCACGAGGAAAAUAUAUUCCUUGAUUUGAAAUAAUUAUAAAAAUUGAAUAAUAUAUUUAUGAGUUUUUUUGGUAUUUUUUUCAGAUUUUCGGAAAUCCUGGUUUUAUUCAUUUGAAUGCCUUAGAAAAAAAGGCCACUGACCCCCAUUUUUCUUUUUAUAAAUGUGAUGUGUUUGACCUUUUGAUUUUGUUAUUUGCUUAGAGACUUUUUAUUUAGAAUUAUCCUCAGUGUUCCGUAUAUUUGAUAUUUUACUUUUUCCUACAACAUUUGGUUUCAAUCUGGUAAUCUAUAAUUAUUCAUGAAAUGUUACUAACAGAUGAUGGACUUAAUGGGGAUUGCAAUAACACAUUCUAGCUUUUGUCAAGGUCCAUAUAUUUGCUCUGACAAAAUCUGGUAAAAUCUCUUUGUUUUUACUCAGAAUAAUGCAAUGCUAAGGUGUACAUGUAACUACUUCAGAUAUACUGCACAGUUGCGAAUGUACUCAUACCUUUGAUGGCUAAUCCUAGAUUUUGA